CAGCAGCCGCGGUAAUACGAAGGGUGCAAGCGUUAAUCGGAAUUACUGGGCGUAAAGGGCGCGUAGGCGGACAGUUUAGUCGGGGGUGAAAGCCCGGGGCUCAACCUCGGAAUUGCCUUCGAUACUGGCUGUCUUGAGUGUGAGAGAGGUGUGUGGAACUCCGAGUGUAGAGGUGAAAUUCGUAGAUAUUCGGAAGAACACCAGUGGCGAAGGCGACACACUGGCUCACUACUGACGCUGAGGCGCGAAAGCGUGGGGAGCAAACAGGAUUAGAUACCCGAGUAGUCCCUGUCUCUUAUAC
rnacentral:rRNA from 1 species